rnacentral:tRNA from 1 species
AACGCAUGGCGGAACUGGCAGACGCAGCGCACUCAAAAUCCGCCGCCUGCACGGGCGUAAGGGUUUGACUCCCUUCUUCGGCACCA